UGGGGAAUAUUGCACAAUGGGCGCAAGCCUGAUGCAGCCAUGCCGCGUGUAUGAAGAAGGCCUUGGGUUGUAAAGUACUUUCAGCGGGGAGGAAGGCGGUGAGGUUAAUAACCUUGCCGAUUGACGUUACCCGCAGAAGAAGCACCGGCUAACUCCGUGCCA
rnacentral:rRNA from 1 species